rnacentral:tRNA from 1 species
GGGUCGAUGGCGUAGUUGGUUAUCGCAUCUGUCUCACACACAGGAGGUCCUCAGUUCGAACCUGGGUCGACUCA